UUCCGAGCAAGGUGGAAACUCACCCAAGACUGUACGGCAGGCUAGCUGGUGGGCAGGAGCAGGAGUCAGGGGACUCCUCACAAAUUCACAAGUUAAGCUUGGCAACCUUAUCCUGAAAGGUGGAACCACCUGAAGGCAAGAGCGGGCCCUUCUGGGCCAGAUGCAUAUUCAGAACUGGGCUCAGCCUGUUGGCCGGGUGACGGUGGGCCUCAGCUCCUAAUCUAUAAAAUGGGGUUGACAGUCCCCUCAUUGUAGGGUCUCUGGCAAGAACUAGAAUGGUUUCUGUAAGGUCCCUGGUGUAGAGUCGGCUACUUUUAGUAGCCCCUGGGGGAGGCACAGGCGGUAGGUACCAGCCACGGGGCAACAGUCUUCGGUAAGAUUCUGGAAGGGAAGUGGGGUGAGGAGGAGAGAGAUUCUCAUGAACUUCGCCCACGUCACAGCUCUGCCUGGAGCCAGUCAAUGAUAAAACUCAUUCAGUGUGUUGGGCUGAAUCUGUAUGAGAAACAUGUUCUAAAUGAAGUUUUAUAAUUAAUGCUCUUCUCUGAAAGGCAGAGGAGAGGUGGCAGGGUUUCUGACAGCCAAAGCGUUUCCUGAAUAUUUGACAAAUGCACGUAGCGUAGGCAGCACAUUAUUUAGGCGCUACCUGGAAACCUGAAUGGAUGGAAAGCUCCGAUUCUGACCACACGAUGCCCACAGAGAGGCACCUUCGGGCUCCCAGAGUCGCUGACACUGGGCUCCAAUGUCGGGGUGAGGUCCCGGAGGGGUCUGCUAUAAAGAAGCCGUGGGACUGUGUUAUUGACCAAAUCAACCUGUUCCUAUGUAAAUGAAGGCCUCUGGGGUGGCCCGAAACAGAUUAUUCUCCAAAAGAUGGAAAAUGCCAAAAGCAUUUGCAACCUCCUGCAGACAGUCUGGCCGGACACACUCCUGGAGCAGGUCGGAUGCACAGAGUCCAUCCCGCCUCCCUCAGCUGGAGGGGAGACAGCAAGCACAAGGGGAUGAUAAGCAUGAGGACAAAAGCCACCCGCUAAGGAUGACACCCAGGAAAGACGGAGGACGGGAAACACAGCCACACUAGCCACAUCUCAAAUGCUCAGUUGGUGCUAUUGUAUUGGAAAGCAGAGUUUUAGAACAUUUCCACCAUCACAGAAGUUGCAGAGCCUCAAGACCAUCCUGGUCCAUCAAACAUCUCUUUAUUUAAUGCUCACCAUUCGAGAAGGAGAAAACGUCUCCAGUAACGAUUUCCUGCGACUUCAGAGAACAGGGCCUGCACUGGCUGACCUUUAUCAUUGGCCACAAGUCCUCAUUCUGUACAGAUAGUGAGCAAUGACUAAUGUUUUCUGAGUACUGGUCUAAGGGCAUUGCCUGGGGCCUUGCCUCAUUUAACCCCCUCAAAAACGGGGGGCCUUUCUGUCUCAUUUUUCAGAUAAGGCAAGGAGGCUAAUGGUCAGCAGGUCAUGCUGCUGGGAGGAGGCAGUCAGGAUCUCGACCCAAAGAACCUGCCUCCGGUGACUUUGUCAACCACUCCACCCUCCUGACAAUAAGUGAUCAAAACAAGCUAUUAAGUUAUUAAACAGCUAUCACUCUGAUAGCAUGGCACGCUGCCCCCUCCCGUGCCUGCAUCGCCUGCCCCUGAGAAAAGAGGCACGAGAAGGUCCCAACACUUGGCCUCGUGGCCUGCUUUCCUGCCCUUCCCGACACACUGGGCAUGUUCUGGAACUCGUCUGAUGUGACGUUCAACUUCGCAGUGGUGAACGUGGUCAGCUAUGAACGAUCCAAAAGGGGAACCAGACUGGCAGUUUCAGGGGUGCGACUUGGUUAGCUGUGCCCCACGAGGUCACCUGUUCCAUCUGAGAAAGGGAAACUCGGAGCAUCCAGCUUCCCCGGCAAGAGAACUGUCGAGAUCCUAAUGUGUAGCUGGAAAUUAAUUAUCGUGGCCCUGCCCUGUCUGGGCAUGCGACUCUCCUCACACACAAAUGACUCUGCAACAUGACGGGGGCACCAUGAAAUCCACUCACCUCUGGAUGAACCUGGGUGACUUACCGAGUCAUGGGGGGGCAGGCGCGGGAGGUGCAGAGAGCCACUGGCUAACGGGACCCCAUGAAUAGGUCAGACAACCCCAUCUCCACACCUGCCACUUAGCCUGCUACAGUGUCCAACGUGUAAGGUACCACGAAGUGUGUCUCCAGUUUCGCAGAUGCCGUGCGUCAUGCCCGAGCCUCACCAAUGGGAGCCCCCCCCGCCAAGAUCACGCAGUCUCAGGGAUGACAUUCACUGAAUGCCUAGGUUGGCUUUUCAGUUUCUGGAUCUUGCCUAUGAAAGAGUCCUGUCUAGUGGGGGGAUGGAGAUGGGCCCAGAAAAAUCUGGGAAGCAAACGGGAGCCCAUCUCGGGCUGCUGGUGGUAGUGGGGCCCUGCUGGGUGUCCACAAGGAGGAUCUCGUGGAUCCAGCUCCUGGAGCUGAGCCCAGGGGAGGAUUCCUGGUGCGGUGAAACGCCCCUCUCCUUAGCUCUCCUCCAAACCCUCAUGUAACCUUUCCUCUUCUCCGAUCCUGUCUCUCCCCUUCUCCAUCUCCAUCUCUCUCUCUCCUCCUGGGAGAGCCGAAACACGUCAGUGACAUGGCACAAAGGGAAGCUCUGGGGCUACACGUGGCCGCAGACAUUACCCCAGACCCUGACCAGCUUACCCAUUGGUCUCUAAGUGAUCCUGAUCUAGGAAGUUGGGGGGUUUCAUGAGGCUCCUAAAGUGUUUGGAAGAGGUUAGUUACACUCUUGUGAUUGUAUACACACACACACACACACACACACACGCACGCACACUGUUUUGAUGUGAUAGGUUCACCAGAAAGAAAAAAAAAAGUGAAAAUUUCCCCCUUCAUUAUUCUACCCUCAACCUCUCCCAACCCCCAGAAAGAGAGAUUAGGCUUGUAAUUCUGGAAAUUUGCCCCCAGGCCCAAUUGAAAGGCAUUUUGGACGUUUAGGGUCCUCGGAUCUCCCACCUUUAUGUAAGAUGGGCUUUCCACCUGGCUCUACUCUCUCAUUCUCCUUCU